GUAGUCUCGCACAGAUGCAUAUCAAUAAGCGGAGGAAAAGAAACUAACAAGGAUUCCCCUAGUAACGGCGGUGAAGCGGGAAGAGCUCAAAUUUGAAAUCUUAAAGGGUUUCCCUUUACGAAUUGUAGUUUAAAGAAGUGUUUUCUGUUGAGGUUUUGGUAAAAGUUCUUUGGAAUAGGACAUCAUAGAGGGUGAGAAUCCCGUAUUUGACCUUUACUUUCAACUUUGUGAUACACUUUCAAAGAGUCGGAUUGUUUGGGAAUGCAGUCCAAAAUGGGUGGUAAAUUUCAUCUAAAGCUAAAUAUUGGCGAGAGACCGAUAGCGAACAAGUACCGUGAGGGAAAGAUGAAAAGAACUUUGAAAAGAGAGUUAAACAGUACGUGAAAUUGUCAAAAGGGAAGCGUUUGACACCAGUGUUGUUUUUCUGAAAAUCAAUUAAAGAACUGUUUAUGCUAAGCUGUUUAGACUUUAUCAGCUAUCUGUUUAGUUUUGAGCUUUUCUUUAAUGCACCUUUUCAGUUAACAAGUCAACAUCAAUUUCUUUUGCUGUAAAAAAGCUUGAGGAAGGUGGCUUGAGAUUCGUCUUAAGUGUUUAUAGCCUCCUGCCUAUGCAGUCGGAGAGAUUGAGGUCUGCAGCGUAGAUCCUUCGGGGCUAAAUGCAUUUGUGCUAAGUUAUAGCAUUUUAUAGACAACUUGUUGACUAUGAUUUGUCUUGUAGCUUACUCGCUUAUGUUAUUUUACCUACGCUUAGGAUGUUGACGCAUGAGAUAUACGC
rnacentral:rRNA from 1 species